rnacentral:lncRNA from 1 species
GACAACUAAGAGCAAGAUUUUAUCGUGAUGAUAACAAAAGAAAGUUGGCCAAGGAUAUAGAACCACGACCAAAUGUUUCAUUUUAUCCAGAUGACACCAAAACAAAGCUCUUCGCUGAAGAUUUAGAACCACGACCAAAUGUCUCAUUUUAUCCCGAUGACGAAACCAAAACAAAGCUCUUCGCUGAAGAUGUAGAACCACGACCAAAUCUCUCAUUUUAUCCCGAUGACGAAACCAAAACAAAACUUUUUGCUGAAGAUGUAGAACCACGGCCAAAUGUCUCAUUUUAUCCCGAUGAUGACACUAAAACAAAGCUUUUUGUUGAAGAUGUAGAACCACGACCAAAUGUUUCAUUCUAUCCUGAUGACGAAACCAAAACAAAACUUUUUGCUGAAGAUGUAGAACCACGACCAAAUUCCUUCUUUUAUCCUGAUGAUGACAUUAAAACAAAGCUUUUGGUUCAAGAAAUAGAGCCUCGACCAAAUGUUUCAUUUUAUCCAGACGAUGACACCAAAACAAAGCUUCUUGCUGAAGAUAUUGAACCACGACCAAAUGUCUCAUUUUAUCCCGACAAUCUAAAAGCCAAAGAGCAGCUCUCGGCUCAUUCUCACCAUGGGGAAGCUGGUUUGCAGGUGGCACAAG